CGUGCUUAACACAUGCAAGUCGAACGGUGAAGCCCAGCUUGCUGGGUGGAUCAGUGGCGAACGGGUGAGUAACACGUGAGCAACCUGCCCCUGACUCUGGGAUAAGCGCUGGAAACGGCGUCUAAUACUGGAUACGAGUAGCGACCGCAUGGUCAGUUACUGGAAAGAUUUAUUGGUUGGGGAUGGGCUCGCGGCCUAUCAGCUUGUUGGUGAGGUAAUGGCUCACCAAGGCGUCGACGGGUAGCCGGCCUGAGAGGGUGACCGGCCACACUGGGACUGAGACACGGCCCAGACUCCUACGGGAGGCAGCAGUGGGGAAUAUUGCACAAUGGGCGCAAGCCUGAUGCAGCAACGCCGCGUGAGGGAUGACGGCCUUCGGGUUGUAAACCUCUUUUAGCAGGGAAGAAGCGAAAGUGACGGUACCUGCAGAAAAAGCGCCGGCUAACUACGUGCCAGCAGCCGCGGUAAUACGUAGGGCGCAAGCGUUAUCCGGAAUUAUUGGGCGUAAAGAGCUCGUAGGCGGUUUGUCGCGUCUGCUGUGAAAUCCGGAGGCUCAACCUCCGGCCUGCAGUGGGUACGGGCAGACUAGAGUGCGGUAGGGGAGAUUGGAAUUCCUGGUGUAGCGGUGGAAUGCGCAGAUAUCAGGAGGAACACCGAUGGCGAAGGCAGAUCUCUGGGCCGUAACUGACGCUGAGGAGCGAAAGGGUGGGGAGCAAACAGGCUUAGAUACCCUGGUAGUCCACCCCGUAAACGUUGGGAACUAGUUGUG
rnacentral:rRNA from 1 species